rnacentral:misc_RNA from 1 species
UACGGAGGAUCCAAGCGUUAUCCGGAAUUAUUGGGCGUAAAGGGCACGCAGGCGGUUCCUUAAGUCUGAUGUGAAAGCCCGUGGCUCAACCACGGAGGGCCAUUGGAAACUGGGGAACUUGAGAACUGAAGAGGAGAGUGGAAUUCCACGUGUAGCGGUGAAAUGCGUAGAUAUGUGGAGGAACACCAGUGGCGAAGGCGACUCUCUGGUCAUUUCCUGACGCUGAGGUGCGAAAGCGUGGGUAGCAAACAGG